GCACCGUUACACGACAGCGUCGCAAACAAAACAGCGCGGAAGUCCGACGAUCGGAACUGGGAAACAGCGCAGAUCGAUAGCGCGAGAGACCAAGCCCGGGUUCCGGAGACGCGAGAUAAACUGCUUACAAAGUCUUGCUAAGCUCGAUGUGCCUCCAGCAACCAAAGGCUAAAGGUCACGUGUUCAGAAGCUGGCAUUGGUGGGCUCUGAGGAUGGAUUUCUUCACUCUCUGACCUUGAAAGAUUGCAGACUGGGCACCUGUGAAGGCCCAAGUGAAGGAUGGAUUGACCAAUCUGAGAUGAAAAACAGCCACCUAGCCGCCAAGGUCCUGAAAAUCGACUUCCACAGUCCUUACUAUAAUGACCACGCCUUUGAGCUGUUACAACAGCAAGGGGAAUGAGAGCAGGCCACACCUGCCUGACAUCUGACACUGGUGAGGAAGGGGAGAAGGUAAGACCACGUGAAGGACUGGAGGUGCGUGUUUGGCAUUCAUGAAGCCCUGGAUCCAAGGUUCAACGCCACACAAACUCAGCAUAGUGGCAUUAGGGAGAUAGAGACAAGACAAUAAUUCAAAAGCAUCCUAGGCUACAUAAAAUCCUGUAGACUGAAGUUUCUCGGUCCCACCGGGUCCCGCCCUGGCAGCGGGCUUUUUUUUAUAAAAUAAUCACUCAGAGGCUUAAUAUUAAUUAUAAACUGUUUGGUCUAUGGCUCAGGCGUAUUGCUAAUUAGCUCUUUUAUAUUAAAUGAACCCAUUUCUAUUCAUCUAUGUAUCACCACAUGUCUCAUGGCUUUACCUGUGUUCCAUUGCA